rnacentral:lncRNA from 1 species
UUCCUCAUUUUUUCUCAGCGAGUCAUCCUUGAUAUGUUUACCUUAAUCGGUAACGGAUGUCCCUCUGCCAGAGUAUAUUAUCUUCUUACCGAGUAACAGGUGAUAGAUAAUACAUCUGUUUUACUCCUAUGUUGAAGCUUCUUCUUCCCUGGUUGAGUGUGGAUUCGUAUUUCUUUGUGAAAUCGAAUUUCCUUUUGGUGUUUGCAUAUUUCAGGUUUGUUUUGA